rnacentral:rRNA from 1 species
GAUGAACGCUGGCGGCGUGCCUAAUACAUGCAAGUCGAGCGAACGGACGAGAAGCUUGCUUCUCUGAUGUUAGCGGCGGACGGGUGAGUAACACGUGGAUAACCUACCUAUAAGACUGGGAUAACUUCGGGAAACCGGAGCUAAUACCGGAUAAUAUUUUGAACCGCAUGGUUCAAAAGUAAAAGACGGUCUUGCUGUCCCUUAUAGAUGGAUCCGCGCUGCAUUAGCUAGUUGGUAAGGUAACGGCUUACCAAGGCAACGAUGCAUAGCCGACCUGAGAGGGUGAUCGGCCACACUGGAACUGAGACACGGUCCAGACUCCUACGGGAGGCAGCAGUAGGGAAUCUUCCGCAAUGGGCGAAAGCCUGACGGAGCAACGCCGCGUGAGUGAUGAAGGUCUUCGGAUCGUAAAGCUCUGUUAUUAGGGAAGAACAUAUGUGUAAGUAACUGUGCACAUCUUGACGGUACCUAAUCAGAAAGCCACGGCUAACUACGUG